rnacentral:rRNA from 1 species
AUUGAACGCUGGCGGCAUGCUUUACACAUGCAAGUCGAACGGCAGCACGGGCUUCGGCCUGGUGGCGAGUGGCGAACGGGUGAGUAAUAUAUCGGAACGUACCCAGAAGUGGGGGAUAACGUAGCGAAAGUUACGCUAAUACCGCAUACGAUCUAUGGAUGAAAGCAGGGGACCGCAAGUCCUUGUGCUCCUGGAGCGGCCGGUAUCUGAUUAGCUAGUUGGUGAGGUAAAGGCUCACCAAGGCGACGAUCAGUAGCUGGUCUGAGAGGACGACCAGCCACACUGGAACUGAGACACGGUCCAGACUCCUACGGGAGGCAGCAGUGGGGAAUUUUGGGCAAUGGGCGCAAGCCUGAUCCAGCAAUGCCGCGUGAGUGAAGAAGGCCUUCGGGUUGUAAAGCUCUUUUGUCAGGGAAGAAACGGUGGAGGCUAAUAUCCUUUGCUAAUGACGGUACCUGAAGAAUAAGCACCGGCUAACUACGUG